AUCAGAACCUGUUAGUUAACUUGAAAGAAUGACAACAAAUGAAACAAAGCUGGUUGUACAGUAGUUUCAUUAGUUGGCAACAAGGAUCAAUGUAUUUUAAAAGCACUUUAGACACGCCAUGGAUCAGAGAGCUCAGCAGAUGAUGGUUAGUCCUCAGAGUAAAUACCAAGAAGAAACAGUCUGAGCAUCUUUCCUGUCCUCUAAACACUUGUGAAUCAAGUCCUUCCUUAAGACUUUUGCCUCCCUUCUGGAUAGACAACAGCCUCUGAAUGUUUCCAUCCAGUCUGCAUUUGUCUUGCUUGAUACUUGAAACCGCUGAUAACCUCCUUUCCCCUUUGUUUUUUCUUGCCUGUUCUGAGGUUUCCAAGAGGCGUAUAUGUAUGUGUGUGCAUAUAUAUGUAUUGUACAGAUAUGUGGGUGUGUGUAUAGCAAUGUAACAUAAAUGUAUUUUAUCUACUCAUCUGACUUUCAAGUAUAUGUAAUCAUUUUGUAUUAACCGUGCAGCUGAAAAUGGCAAAGCCUAAUGCUCAAAUGUGUGCUGGUCAUCCUGCCUUUCUCUGGUUUGUGAUUUGGAGUAUCAAUACUGAGAAGUGCUGUACACUAACUCUCGUUUCUCCUUAUGUGUGUGCAUACUUCAGUUACAAUGUAAUUUUGCUGCAGGUAUGUUUUGAAUUCUUCAAGUUAGAUAGCAAUGCUAAUGCUUGAGAGUGGGAUUAUAAACUGAAAUAAUACAAAGCAUCAGGGAAUGUUAACAACUAAUAUCUCAUGAAUGACUAAUACCAUAAUCUAUGUACUGUGAACGUUCAGGCCUGAAAUCUCCUUGCCAUGCCUGGAAGUAAUUAGAGAUUGGUAGAAGCGCUUUUGAUGCUUGGACAUUAGUAUGUAUAAUUCAAAUAUAAUAGGAGCACUGGAAUAGUGUGUUAUGUUGUGGUUAAGGACAGGAACUAGGGAUCCAGAAACAUGACCUGAUGCUGAUUUGCUUUGUGAAUUUAGUUCUGUUGCUUAACUUUCCCCUGUUGCUAGUGAAGUAGUAGCGAUAUUUUCACGUAUCACAAGAGAGUUCAGCAUUAAAUUCCAGCACUCUUAAAGCACUUAAGAUCCAUAAAUGGAAGGUAGUAAAAAAAUUCCAAAACACUCAUUUAGUUGUUUUAUAAACUUGGAGGCUGGAGCAUAAUUUUCUUCAGCGUUCUGUAAACUUAAAAUACCCACUUAUAUGUGCUUCAUUGAUGGUGUUCAAACCAUGAUCAGAUGCUCAAGAAGAAGGGGUUAUUACAUGAGAUGUUUAUUUCUGUCAGGGGAAGGAGGUGGGGGAUUAAUAUCAAAGCAUGAUUCUUCUAGCCCGAUGGUUGUCAGCGGUGCAGUUGUAUGUGGCCUAAUCCAUUUCCACUUGAAGCUGCUGGGAAGACUUCUAUAGACUUCACUAGGAGCUGGAUUUAUCCUAAAGAAUAAAUCUUUCCCUGAAGAUCUGACUCAGACUCAAGGUUCAAACUCAUGAUCUCCGGUGAUUCAUUCUAGAUUCAUCUAACACAUUAUUGCUCCCAGCUUUUCACGCUGCCUUGUUUUUUCAGAUGCUGCUACCCCUGUAACAAGAGUGGCAGAAUGGACAGUGUGCCCACUUGCCAGCUCCCCUGGUUUGCAGCCCGCUGUUUUCAUGCUGCUCAGCUGCUGGUCGCAGGCCUCCAAAUUCCAGCUUCUCCUGUGGUUUCAGUGAUGGGACUUGUGUUUUUGGAGCAGCAGUGACCAGUUUCAGCAGUGAUCGCUUGGACCUUCUGGGGUAAUCAAGAAUUCACUGCAUGUUUUGGCACUUACAAAUCUGGAAGGAUAAAUUUUUAAUUAGUGUGUUUUGGUAAUUGUUUGUGGUUUCCCUUUACCAAAACCCCAGGGAAAAAGCCUGUUGCUAAUCAGGGGGUUUUUAGAGGGAAAAUUAAAAUAAUCUGCCAAGUGCUGCUUAUGGUAAAUCCCCAUAGAGAAGAAGAGCAUGGUCUGCUCCUCGAGAGCUUUGCUUUCCAGGGGGCUUGUUCUGUGCAGCAUGGAGGACUGCUGGGGAGUUGGGAGCAUUCAUCUCCUCGGAAAAGAGACUGGGGAUCUCAAGAGAUCAGACCUGUGUUACAGGCAGAAUGGCUUAAAAAAUUCAGCGUGGCGUGUGUUCAGAGUUGACUGGGGUGCUAUGCCAAAACAAUGUGCAAAACCAAGAGUGACAGUUGGCAUCCAUUAUCUGUAAGUGCCUGGUGCUGUUGGUAGGUAGUACAUCGUGGUCAAGUUACUAAUAAUCUGGAAUAUUUUCUUUUAUAUUUAUUGCUCUGUUUAUUAUUCCUAACAUUUUAAAACUUGCUCUAAAGAAAGAAUAAAAAUACAUUUGGUAAUGCA